UCCCUUGUAGCUUAGGUGGUAAAGAGUCUGCCUUCAAUGCAGGAGACCUGGGUUCAAUUCUUGGGUCGGGAA
rnacentral:tRNA from 1 species